AAAUUUUAAAUUUUAAAGUUUAAAAUUUAAAUAUAUUUUUAAAAUUAACUAGCUUUUCAAACAGCUUUUCAAAAUUUUUAAUUUGCCAAACAGCUUUUUAAAAUCACUUCAGAAAAAAUCACUUUUAUCUAAACUCCGCCAAACGUUCUAUAACUUUUAAGCAAAAUCACUUCUCCAAACCAAAAUCACUUUUUCAGAAAUCACUUUUUCGGAAGCUAGGCCAAACAGGCCCACAUGCCCUCACCAUCCUCCUCCACCUCACCCUCGCCCACCUCUCCGCCCAUACCUACCAUGAUCUCCUCCCUACAAUCGCCGAAAUAGAGGGACGUCAAGGAUGUUAGAGAAGUAGGGAAGCAGGUGGAGAAAACGGAGUCGGAGCUGGGGUUGAUAGAGGCGCGGGCGAGGGUGCGGAAUGAGCAAGAUUGAGAAAACGAAGAAGAUGAGAGAAAUUUGAUCAUUUUGUCACACCGUACUCCCUGUGAAUAUUUUAAAUUUUUUAAAAGGAUGAAAUGUAGAUUUUUUAAUAAUGGAAGAGAAAGUGAAAAAACGGAUAUUAACAGCAGAGUUUUAUGUAAUUUAGCCAAAAUCUAAUUGACAGAUCCGAUCUGAUUUGAUAUAGUUGAAAAUAUUGUAAUCAAUAGUUUAUGUAAUUA
rnacentral:lncRNA from 1 species